GGACCACGGCGGGGAGACGGCGCCCCGGCCGGCGCGCGGAGAGGCGCCGCUAGAGGAAGCAGGGCGGAACCUGGAGAGCAAAUGGCCUCUUGAGACGGUCCGGAGGUUAAAGGCAUUUGCAGCCAAACCUGACUACCUGAGUUCUCUUCGUGGAACCUGCACGGUGAUAAUUCCAUUUCCAGGGAAUUAUGUCUGCAUGUGUUAUCAUCUCCCACGUCCAGAGCAUUCUCCCUGGGUGGAGCUCGGGACACAUUCAUAGCCUGGGGAGGACAUUGUAGACCAAAGGAUCCCGACCAGCCCACGGUAGAGGCAGUCAGAAGAAUAACCGUGUCAACAACUUGAUCUUGAGACUGUCAGCCUCCACAGCCCUGAGGAGCUCAUUGCUGCUGUCUGAGCCGCCCAGCCUCUUGGUGCUUUUGUCAGUCUUAAUAAAUCAAUCCAGACAGUGAGCAAAUGUGACAGUGAAUGGAAUGUGGACAGUCAAGACAACAUAAUUGUCCAGUCAGCUACCACGGCGGCAAAUGGCAUGUUAUCUCAGAGAGACUUUGGAAGAGGGUGUGAGCAAUUCUGCAGGGUCACCUCACGAGGAAGCCGGAUUGUGUCUUUAGAUGGUUCCCGGCUUAUGAUAGUUAGACGGACAGCUUUUCAGCCUUACGGUGUUGCAGAGGCAGCACACCCACUCAGUACAGACUCUUGCUGAUUUUGAUCUUUCUGUGGCUGGAGAUGGGUGAUGGGGUGCUCCCAGGUGGUCCUGGGCAGCUGACAUCAACGAACAGAGGGGAACAGCUCUGCUGUGUGCUGGGCUGCCGAGCUGGCUGCUUUGUAGACUAGAUGCACCAAAAAGCUUCUUUCUCCUUUACUGAGACAGGACCUCACUCACACCAGUCCUUGAACUCACAACCCUCCUCUAAGUGCUAGAAUCACAGGAGUGUACCAUUCCUGGCCUCUUUGACUCUGUGUGUGUGUGUGUGUCUCCUCUCUCUCUCUCUCUCUCUCUCUCUCUCUCUCUCUCUCUUUCUGCUUUAUAGUGGAAACAAUUUUAUUUAUUGGCAUAGAAUAAAAUGAAAGAAAUUGACAUUCCUACACACACACAGUGUAUUGUGACUGUGAUUAUAGUCAGCCCACCACCCGCUGUUGUCUUCCUCCCUUUCCCCUAAACCUUUUUCCUUCCCAAUUAGUCCUCUCAGAUCGGGCCCUUCAACAUCCACUAUAGAGAGAGGAGAUGCCCAUGAUACCUUACCCCUUCCUGAGGAGUCGGGGACUGUAAAUGCUCACUGGCUUUUCUUUCUGUCUUUUUUUCUGUCUUUCUUUAUUUCUUUCUCUCUCUCAUACUCUCUCUCUCUCCUCUCCCUCCUUCCCUCCUAUUUUUUUUUUCUCUUUUUGUAGCUUUACCUGUCCUGGAACUUGCUCUGUAGACCAGGCUGGCCUCCUUGGAGAGAUCCACCUGCCUCUGCCUCCCAAGUGCUGGGAUUAUAGAUAUGGGCCAGCAUGCCCAGCUCUUUAUUUCUUCUAACUGGUACAUAUUGGGUCAUAGCUUUGGAAUCUUGCGGGGUGCCACAGUGCCCAGCUAGUGUGACAUGUUUGAAUAGCUUCCCACUCCAGGCUCAAGUUCCCGAUGCGCAUGUCUAACGUGACAUGCUUUCUAGUUCCGAUGGCUGGCCAUCAAGGACCCCGUGAGCACACGUACUUAGCUCUUCAUUUUUGGAGCAUGGCUCUCCCUGUGAGGACAGUUUAAGUCCCAUAAGCAGGGCAGGAUAGCGCUUCCAAGGUCUGAGGAAAGCAAAGACAUACAGAGCGCGGCAGCUGACGUCAGCUCAGGCACGGAGGAAGGAAAGGCAGGAAGGCCUCACAAGCACCCCGGGGAAACUUACUCUGCAGCUCUCGCAGAGGAACUCACACAGCGUUCAGGACCUGUUUCAAAACAAUACAGGGGGGAUAGAAGGGAAUGAACAUAGAUAAAAUAAGAUGAGCUAUGAAUGAAUUUCUCAAUGUAUUAGCAUUGUUGUUGUUUUAUUUUUAUGGAUAUAGGCGUUUUCCUUGCAGCUCUGUCUGCACACUGUGCCCAGAGGCUAGAAGAAGACAUCAGAUCCCCUGGAACUGGAGUUACAACUAGUUGUGAGCCUGCUGGGAACUGAACCCAGGUCCACUGGAAGAACAGCCAGUGCUCUUAACCACUGAGCCAUCUCCCUGAGCCCGAAUUGAUGUUUUUCUUUUCCUUUCCUUUCUUUUCUUUUAAAGCCUGGAGAUGUAUAUAUGGACAGUCACACAACUCCUCGGUCUAUUUAUGGACAUUUGGCUCUUCAGUAGUAAUGAGGUUGUAAUAUGUGCACUGGAGAUUAUUGCUGGCUAUAAUAAUGGGAUCUAAGUUUACACUUCUGCAUAAAACAAUAAAUCAGACCAAAUGCACAAAACCAUAGAUUUUAGGACACUGGACUCUGGGUGAUGAAAGUUAUUCCCAAGGAACAGGAAGUUGUUGGGCACAAGGACAAAAAAAGCACACACAUGAACAUACAUUCAAUGAGAAAGUUGGAGAGGAGAGAGAAAGAUUAAGUCCUUUGAAUUCCAACCUGAGGAAAAUUUCAGGCUGUGGAACAGGAAACAAGGACCCAGACAGAGGUGGCAGGCUCUGAGAAGGCAGAGGUGAGCAGGCAGAGGGAGAUCAGUGUGAGCUAGGGAGCUAGGGCCAGCUGGAGGAAACAGGGGAAAGAGAGGGCAGUGUAGAGGAAGCCGUUCCGAGAUUGCAGGACCCUUUGACUCCUCAGCAGAGACCCCGGGUACUGCCUGUGGAGAACUGCCACGGUCCCUUGUCCUUCAGAAUUCUGAUCAGGCAUAAAAAAACUAUGGAUGCUUAUGUCUCCCAAAAUAUAUCUGCACAUAACCUAUACACCUCCUCCUGAACACUUUUGAGUAUCUAGAUAUCUUAAUCGUAAAAAAACAAAAAACAAAAACCAAAACAUUUAUUUAUGGAGCAUACAUGCCAUGCCAUGGCACACGUCGAGAGACAGAAGACGUUCAGGAGUUAGCUGUCUGGCCAGUCCCAGAGGCCUUCACUCUCUAGCAUGUUGUAACACUAUGUAAAUAGUUGUUACGCUGCCUGUUUAGUGAGUACAGCACUAGGGGGCAUGGCUCUGCAGAGUGCACACCCUGCCUUGUUUACUUUCAAGGAUAUUUCUAUCAGAAUUAUCUAGUUUUAUGAGAUUCAUUUGUCACAAAUGAGGGCUGUUUUGUUGUUUGUUUGUUCAUUUGUUUUAUAACUUUUCCAUGUCUACUGAGAUCAUCACGAGUUUUUUAAUGUUAUUAAUAUGGUUUAAUUUAUUUUUAUAGACCGAGAUAAAAUCCAUAUUUUUAUUAUGGUAAAAUGCAUACAAGAUAAAAAAAUACCAUUUUAGCUGUCUUCAAGAACAUUGUUCAAUAAUGUCAAAGACUUUCACACUUUUGUGCAACUACCACCCAUCUCCAGAACUUUCUUCCCUUCCCCAAAUAGAAUUCUAUAGCUAUUAAACACUGAAUUUGUAUUUUUCCAGCCCCAUCAUCAUUUUCUUUUCUGUCUGUCUGAGUAUGACUACUCUAGAAACCUCUAGCACAUGGAAUUAUAUAAUUUUAUCUGUUGGAAAAGAGAGGGCUUCUUUUCCUUAGCAUACUAUCAUCAAGGUCAUCCAUGCUGUAGCAAGUGUCAAAAUUCCCUUCCUUCCCUUCCUUUUAGAGACUGAACCAUACUCUGUUAGAUUAAUGUAUGUCAUGUUGUUUUUCCAAGCAACUGCUGAUGGACAUUUUUCUUCUUUCUAUCUUCGACUUUUGUGAAUGCUAAUGCAUUCAUGGACAUUUGUGUACAUGUUUUUUUUUUAAUUGACUUAUUUUAUUUUAAACUUUAUUAUUAAAAAUUCACACACACACCAAAAUCAUAUGCCAAAAUGAACCACACUUAAAGACUAUACAACUCAGUGAACUUUGGCAAAGUUAGAAUAGCCACUCAGAAUGGAAGCUAUUUGUUUUUGAGAUAGUGUCCUCCCAUGUAGCCCACGCUUGUCUGCAGUUCAUGAUCCUCCUGCCUCUGUGUCCAGAAGUGCUGGGAUUACAGGACCACACCACCACACCCAGCUCCAGGCACUUGCUGGUGCCUGACUUUUAGUUUACGUGAUUCAGCGGGUAUGAAGUGGUCUCUUGCAGUGGUGUUGACUUGAGUUUCUCUAAUGACUGAUGAUGCUGAGCUUCUUUUGCUUAUUGGCCACUUGCACAGUUUGGGAGAAGUGUAAAUUCAAGUUCCUUGCUUGGUACAAACCUGGGUCAUUUGUCCUCCUAUUGCAGAGUUGUAAGAGUUCUUUAUAUACUCAGAAUUCAUAUCCUUUUUAAUUGAGCCUGAGAGUCUUUGGAUUUAUUUUGUGGGUUUUUUAUGUUUGUUUUUGCUUUUUGGCUUUGUUUUGACAAAAGUUCUCAUGUAACCCACCCUGACUGCAAACUCAUUAGGCAGCUGAGUCUGAUCUCAAACUUUUGAUCCUCUUGCUUCCACAUCUGGUUCUGGGGUUUAUAGGCAUAUCCACCACAACUGGUUUAUUUGGUUCUGAGGCUUGAACCCAGGGCUUUGUGCAUGCUAGGCAGUAACUACCAACUGAACAACAUCCCCAAUACAAUUUCCAUGUUUUGAGUGAAACAGUUUAAUGUGUUCACAAUUAGUUUGGAAAAGAAUAGUUCACCUCACUUGCAAAAAGAAAGAAAGGCAGGAAGGAAGGAAGGAAGGAAGAGAAAAUCCAUUCAGUAAGCUGCAAACAGGCCCAUCAGCAGAUUAUGGACUCUCCUCAGCUCAACGAUUUAAGUCAUCCUCUCAGGACUGAGCUAGGCUGCUCCAGUGCUGCCUUUAGAACGCCAGGCCUAAAAGUAAAAGUGAAUAUAUAAUUUUUGAUCAAAGACAUUAGUCCCACACUGUAGAAAAAAAAAACCACAAAAACAUGAUAUACAGAAUUAAUUCAGGAAAGUCAUUAAACAAACAGCAAUGAUUCCCACCCCUAAUAGAAAGGCACCUCGGAAUCCAGAAUUUCCGUAAUAACAUGAUGAGAAAUAUUCAACUAAAAAAUACAAAACACACAAGUAACUGAUAGUAUCCUAUACAGGAGGAAAGGGCAGUCAGUAGAAACUGUCCCUGCAGAGGCCUAACUGGCAAUUAUUAGGUAAAUGCUUUACCAUAAGCAGGCUUCUAUUUGUAAAUAUGUUCAGAGAAAUAAAGAAAAUGCUUUCUAAAUUUAUUUAUUUAUGUAUUUAUUUGUUCUUUUAUUGGUAUUUUGACACAAGAUCUCCCAAUCUGGCCUGGA